CUGAGCUGCUGUUGGAGCAUUCCUAAUUUCAGAGGGAGUAUGCUGGAGAGUUCAGUCCUCCAAAUCAGAUUUCUGCUUCGGUUCUCUUUUAAUGUAACUGCCCUCCUUUCUGCCUUAGUCUGACCACUACUAUUUGGGCUGCAAAAGUGUUUGAGAUAAGUAUCUAAAGUGUCUGGCAGACACAAGGGGGCUGUCAUCUUGCUUGGCUAGCACUGCAGUCCAGGGAAUGGGUAGUGGAGAGAAGAGGGAACCUGAGGUGUUGAGGAUACCCAGGCUACUGCUUCCAGCCUCCAGCUGGCUCCCGGCUCCAUUGGCUGCAUAGCUGUGACGUGGCUUCUCUGCCGACCUGAUAGUCCACCCACAGGUAAUGAGCGAGGCCCAUGCAAGCUGCUAAGAGCACCCAUCUUUGCAAAGUCCCAUGAGUCCUUUCCAGCCCAGGGGAUGUUGCUUGUGCCAGGUUACAGAGAAGUCAGUGGAAAAGAAGGCUGUGGGCAUGCUGCUCCUGACUGUCUGCAGCCAAGCUUGCACACAGCAAUCUGAAUUUGGGCAGUGUGAGCUCUCUUGGCCUCAUGCUGUGAAAGCAGGAUGUGGGUGCCAAGAGAAGCAGCUCCUGUAUUGCAGGGAGAGCUAAAAAUGGUGUUCCUGGUCUCACCACCAUAGGUUAUGGGAGUGCUCCAGCCCCGUGCUCCUCUGCAUUUCCAGAUGGGAGACUGCUGAGAUCCUAAAUGAGGAUCCUAAGAUCCUAAAUGAUGAUGAAGUAAUCCUUUCUGGAUACUUUGAGGGAAGACAAAAGGACAAAGGGCAUUCCGUCACCAAGAGGAAGAGAAAAAAGAAACCUGCUUCCAAGGAUUCAACCCUUAAGCACAAUGACGUAGAAAGAAGGAGAUUCUGUUUACAGAGGAAGUGAGAGAGGAAAUUAAAGUGGUGGGGUAGGGGAAGAAGCAGCUCGCCAACAAAAGCUUGUCCUUUGGGGCAGGGUGAAGAGGUGGCUCCCUUCCCUGGGGAGCUUGUCUCCCAGCAGCAGAAACCACUGUCUGUGGCUGCAUUGCCUGUGGCAUUGGUGCGCUGCCGUUUGUGGGCCAGGCUUUGAGGAGGCCAGUAUGGGUACUUGUUUGUGCUGCAGCACAGGCACACCUGGCUCCCUUCCCUCCUCUGAGGGGUAAGGGCAGGAUGCUUUUUGAAUAUUGAAUCUGUUCAUUCUUGAAGAGCUCAACUUCCUUGCAAAGUGAAAGGUACAGUCGGGGAGUGGGCAACCUAAGACUUGGGGUGUGUCUUGGAAACUGGAAAAUGUCCCAUGUGUUUGGUUCCUGCUGCUAGAGGGAGCCUAGAGAAGUUGGCUGGGUCUAUGGCAUCAUUCUGGCUCGGAUCAGCACAUCUCCCAGACUUUCAGCCAAGCACAGCAUGUGUUCAUGCUGGCCCUGCAGCCCUCAUCUCCCUGUCAGGUCUCAGAGAAACUCCUUCCUUCAUUUCACAAGGUUUUAGAGCAACCUCCCCACACUGCUGAGCCUGCUGGUGGCUUUGGACGGUGUAUCUAAUAAGCUGACAGCAGGGUAGCUGCCGUGAUGCUAUCCCUGAGGGGCUGCAAAUCCUGUCCUAACCAAGCAGGCUGAUAUUUCAGCUUCUCAGCUGCAUCAGCAAUGAGUGUGGGAUUGCUGGAGGGGAGAGAGCAGAACUGAGAAGGGAAAACAGCAGCAGCAGUGACUGGAGUGCUGUGUAAAGUUACCUGGCCUGUCUUGAGCACCCAAGCCAGGGCACCUGGAGCUGCCCAGCUGCCUUCUCCUGUCUGCUCCAUGGCCACAACCUGCAGAGAGAGGAAGGGAGGCAGACAGACAGGCAGCUCAGGACACAACUUUUGCCCUUGGCCACACCAGCUAGCAGAAGCUUCCCAGGCCAGAAUCCUUCCAUAUAGAAAGGUAGCAGGGUAAGAAUGAAACUCAUGUGACUGAUGACUGAUUGAUCUCAGAACCACCUUCUGAAAGCCAGUGUGAUUUUUCACAAGAGCUGGCUCCUUAGAGCUUUUCAUGGUCGGUAUUAUAAAAAUAUGUCCCUAUCUAAUGAAUGCAGAUGGGUUUCUUGCCCUUGUAAGACACCCUCUUCCUGCAGGUUAGAAAGAAUUUGAAGGCUUCCAUUGUACUUACCAACAUCUCAGUGUGGAUGUUGUACUGAUCUUUGCUCCAGCAGAAUUAAUAUCUGCUUCAUCUAUUUUGAGAGGAAUAAGAAAUUCCAGCAGCUGCCAUCUCAGAGGAAUACUGCAGAAGGGUAUGGUUAAAAUCCAGCAUUGUGUUGAGCUCCUGGAAUUGCCAGGCAAAGCAUCUCUCUACGAAUGAUGACAUUUUUUAAAACACUCUGAAGGUUUGGUCUUUGUCACAUUGGGCGUUUUGCCAUAGAUCUUAAUGGCUCUGUGGCUGAUCUCUUAAUCUCUAAUGCACCUGUGCAAACUCAACAGUUUAUUGCAAUUUCAUGCUUUUUGGAAAUCAUCUCACACUAAUGCCAUCAGAGAGAGCAAUUUUUAAGGUCAUUAGCUCAGGACAUAGCAAAUAAAUAGUGAGAGAAAACAAUCUGUAAAUGUCAUAUUUGUUUAACACACGGAGUAGCUCCUGAAGAGCAGUUAUCCUUAUGUCUAGAGACAGCAUGAAAAUUAAAUUCUGUGGCUUGAAAAUGUGGGGCUGUUGGAAGUGAGAAGAGGAUAAUAUGGUUAUUUAUCUUCUCUGCUUUGUUCCCUAUCUCCUUGUUGUUCCCCAUGCACACAUCUGUUCAAUUUAUUCACCAGUAACUUUAAAUUAUUGGACUGCAGACCAGGACUAAAGGCCUGACCAAAGAAAUUGAGGUUCUGCUGCUGAGUUUUGAUAAAAUGUUUUUGUUUUGUUUUGGUUUGGUUUGGUUUGGUUUUUCUUUGUUUUCUCUGAUGAUAAGUAAUAGUUUUUAGCUGCUAUUCCAAAUAAAAGGAAUUGGGUUAAGUAGGAAGAGUUAUCCCUUCUCCACAUCAGUAGAAAAGAGACAGGCCCACUAACAUAACCUGAUGUAAAUGCUCUCCAAACCAAAAAAGACAGAACCACACAAAAUCUUUAUCGCUGGCAUCAGGUCUAUUCUGUCAAUAAGUGCACUUAAAACUGAUUUCCAAGUUUGCCGGUAUUUUGCUUGUGGAAGCAAGCCUGAAUGCAUGGCCACAAAUGGGCAUUACAGUGGGAAGAUCAGUAGAAAGACACAUAGAUAUUCCCUGUGCUAUGGAUGAGAUGGGGGAAACAAGAGGAAUGUGGGUGAGGGGAGUGUAAGCCCCCUGCCCUCCUGUGUCCCAAUCAUCUCUGCCUUGUGGGGUGUAUUUGCUAUGCGGUGUGAUGAAGAGGGGCCACUCAGCCCAACUGCUGCUGGAACAUCAGCAUCUGCCUGGCUCUUUGCCACAAGUAUUUUGUAGUCAUUGAUAUAUUUUAAUUUGGUUUAGAAGAAAGCUUCCCUUCAGGUGGUCUUCCAGCUGCCCUGAAGAGGAUCUCUAAAGACCAGAAUAGUGGUGUUAUCACAGCGUCAGGGCACAGCAUAGUUUUGCAAGAUAAACCUUCUCCUAUAGCCCAUAUUGGUCCAUUCCAACAAAAAGCAGGGACUCACCACUGUGAAAGCGGCUGGGAGCACUGGCACAGUCUUAAUGGUCCAAGAAGGUGGUCUCAGUCAAGGCCUCUUCUGCUUUUCCCUGGGUGCAUGAAAGCACGGUAUGGUAUUGUGUUACGAUUCCCUGAAAAGAAGCUUUGUUCUCCUCCAUCACAUCUACCCUUCCUCUCCCCUGUUCUCAGGACAGGAUACACUCUUCAGCAGUGCUGCAGCAUCUGCUUGUGGGGCAGCACAGAUUCACAGAUUCACAGAUUUAAAAGAAUCUCUGACUUCUUUCUGGGUCAGUUUUUUUUUACGAUUUGAGGAAAGUCACAAUAGCUUUUCCACUGGUGAAACUAGAAAUGGGGGACCAACCCUCAGCUCCUGAAGUGGAUAUUUAGCAAAUGAUCACCCUGCCCUGCUUGAGGUAUCUGAGUCCAUAGGUUUGUUAACUCGCUAAGGACUGACUGUAGCCCCAAAUGAGUCAUUCAAAGCACCCAAGGGUUUCUGGGUUUAUGCUGAGUAUGCAGGCAGCUGGGCCUCCUAAAGUGGCAGGUGGAUUAAAUAAGCUUGGUGUCCAAGAUAAAUGGGGUGCAAUACACAUUUCUUUAUGUGCUACAGGAACACCAGGCUAUCAGAAGGGCCAGAUAAGCUUCAGUAAUGGAUAAUUAUUACAAGGUGUUGGGUCACACUUCGGUUAAGCAUGACAAGAAUUUCCCCAGUGUAGGAAGAUGUCAACUUUUGCUGAAAGUAGGUGCUUUUUUUUUUUUUGCUUGCUUAAAAUAUUUACUUGUUCAUUCUGGAGAAAGUUAACACUGUAAAUUUACAUUUUACAAUGUAAACAUUAGUCCACUAGCUAUUUUUUCUUUUUCGCUGGGUUUCUUUAAAUAUUAGCAACAUGUUUAAUGGUUGCUUCAUUCAUUGCAGUUUUAUACAUUUCAUUAAUUAAUCUUGUAACUCAGCAUGGCAGUAGAGACUUGAAAUGGGGCUUUGCUCCCGUUAUGAUGUUGUCUGUUAGCUUUUAUCAAGGCCAGUGACUCAGUUCCAAUGGAUUUGUACAUCCAGAGUUUCAGCCACACUGGGGUGUAGAUGCCAUUUCAAAUAAAGAGAGAAAAACUAAAGUGAAUAUAGAAAUGCCAUCAGUUUUGUCAUGCUAGAGGAUUUGGUGUCUUUGAAAAUUCAGCUUCUGUAAAGGGAUUAAAGUCUUGUCCGGUGGCAAUCUGAAAUGCCAGGAUUUGCUGUCCAAGUAGCAGGUGCAAGAUGUUGAAACCUUCUGGAUGGUUAAUGACCUGACACUGCCAUAACUCACAUCAGCAGUAAUCCAGAGAGUCCCACCCAAACUGUGAAAUCGAUCAGCACUAAAGAAAAAGCAAGAACUGUGUUUUCCACAAGCAGGUUAUUUCCACAGUGGUGGGGACUGCGCAAAGACAGUGGCAGCUGUGUGGUACAAAAUCGCAACCCAUAAGCCACAAUCUCAUCUCGGCAGGGGAUGCCACCACAUGCUGUCAAGAAAAAUGCUGAAAAUCUGGGCAAUAGGUAUAUUUCUUAGGAGGAUGGGGGGGGGGAUGUAGCACUUUGUUUGCUUUGGUCUGUACUCCAAAGCAUGAGGUGACCCCUUGGCUUUCGCUGUGUGUUCCUUGGCCACUACCUGCUGCUCUGGCAGGAGGAGACACUGCAGCGUCUUCCCAGCCCCAUAACAACCCCAACCAUCGUGCCUGAUGUGAGAUGCGAGGUGUCAGCCUGACCCGUGGUUGGUGCCACGUUUCCCUCAGCAGGGGCUUGCUGAGUCCUGCCAGGAGGCGCUCGCUCCCUGCCUGGGCCCUGCUCCAUCACAUGUGGGAUGGUCCCAUUCCAUGGGCUGGUGGUGGAGCAGCUCUCUCCCUUACAGGUGUAUCGUAGAUGCUAAGGAAGCUCAUGUGUAUCUGAGAGGAGGCUGGACAAGUUUGUGGAGGAAAAUCCACUGGAUAGAUUCUUUGUUUUGGUUCUGGUUUGUUUAUUUGUUUUUUUUUAAUUACUUUUCUGCUGGAUCCGUUCCCUCAGCCAGUUCAAAACCAGGCCGCACAGACAGGUAGCGUGAGUGGAUGACACAGGGGACAAGAAGGGAGGGCGAUGUCAAUUGCCUGUGGCAGUGUUGCUAGUGAUGGCUUUGUAUUGUGAAACCAGAGCCUGUUAGUCCUGGUGUUACUAUGCCCACAGGAAGCUUUGCAGCUAAAACCUGAGCUGAUGGCAACAGCUCUCUGGUAAAGUUAUGAGAAGUGUGCUAAUUUGCAGCAGCAACAAGUAAUUUUAGAGAAUAUCCCAUGGCUCCAAAUACUCCACAUCAAUCCUACCCAGGCUGUGAACACGUUGCUGUCCUGUGGCGAUGAGUUCUGCAGGCUGCUGGAGCUGUGCUGCAGUCUUUGUAGUCGUACACGUACAGACCUGAAAAAAAGAUUUGCUCACAAUUUACAGUAAUAAAGCUAACAAAACUCUCCCCAGCAUACCAACUGGCAUUCUUCCAGGUUUGAAUUCAAGGUUUUCAAAAUCCAUGUGUAUUUUUUUAUUUCUCUGUUAGGAAAAAAGGAAAUAUAUAUACCUAUUAUGUAUAUGCAUAUGUAUGUGUAUAUAUAUAUAACUGCUGAGAAGAAUAAUUCCUGCAGUUGUAACAAUUUUAAGCAACAAAAGGUUCUAUGAAAAGAAAAGAACAUAUCAGUCAGGAAAUGCUGGUAUAAAAUAAUUGUGGCAGAUUCCCCUGUGUGCUCUGAUUGCUGUGCAUCUUUCUGGGAAUUCAAUAUGGCCACAAACCCAGCUUGUGGAUGGCAGCUCAUGGCUUGGAACAGUGGCUCUGAGCAUGUAGUUAGGUCAGUAAAUUUGUCCCUACGUGAAGCAGAGAUAUUUCAAAUACAGAGUUCAGCCCCCUGCUGCUUGUGAAGCCUUCCUGUGUGUCCUGUGGAGGCCACAACAAUCAAUACGUGGCACAUGACAGCAGUCAUGUAUUGAUUGUGUAUCUUGUCUAUGGUAUAUUGCGUGUGUUGUCUAUUGUAUGUCUCUUCCUUUCCAGCCUGACAUCCCCCGAUUCAUUGACCCUUUGGGGCAAAAUUUCCCCUUGGAAGCAGAGCAGCCUUCUGUGUCUCCAAAAUGACCAGUCACCCUGGAAACCUGAGAAAUAGCUCACUGAAGAAAACACAAAUGUAGAUCUCAUGUAUUUUUUAUACCUAAAAACCCCAAACCAAGCAGCCACUUGCUGGCUUGCUGCAAGAGUGAUGGGCCCAGUGUAGGGGGACAGGGUGGGACUUGCUUCCUGGCGGUACAUUCCUCACUGAAUUAUAGGCCUAAGGCAGAGACCUCAUUUUCUUCAGAUGACUCUCAGGAAAUACCCUCCCCAUCAGUUAUUAUUGCCUAAAUAAUAGGGAGGGAAGUGCCACAGACUUGAGCAAUAUCUGAGGUACUCCAUAGGGCACAUCCCAAAUCUGGUGUAGGGCAAGGCUGCUAAGACAACUGAUUAUAAUGUCACUUGGUGGGUGUAUACAGUUCUCUUUUUGCCCCAGAGUUAUGAGGUCAUGUGGAAAAAUACAGAUACUUGUUUAGAAAUCAGUAACUUGUUGAAAAGAAACAUUACAAAAUCUCUUCCAAAGCAUGGGCCUGUGCUGUCAACAUUCAUGCAUAGGUUUAUCUUUGUUAAUGGGACUUCUAGGUAGGAAAACAUGUACAAAUAGUUGCAGGAUUCCAAUCUUAAAUGUUAAGUUUCCAGAAAGUCCAGUCCAGGAAGGGAAAAGCCUGUUGAGGGAGAGGUCUGCUGGGAUUUGAUUUAUGAACAGGACAUCCUGCUUAGUGCUGAGAUCUUACAGAUAUGAUUCUAGUGAGACUGCUGGGUUAUUGUGAUGGCGAAGAAAAGGAGCUCACCCACUCCCUUGUCUGCUAAAGGCACUCAAACCUGUCUGGGCAUUGUAUCAGUGCUAAACAUUUGGCAUUCUUUAUCACAUUUCAUCACCACUGUUUACUAAGUGAUGUUAAAAAUGCAUGGUAUGUAUGCAGCUCAUACAAGCAGACUGACAUGUCUGUCAUUAAUUAUCAAGUUGCAUGCUGUCAUUUCAUUUGUGCAGUUAAGCUCAGGGUGGAUUUCAUGACCUAGCCACAGAAGAAGACUGUCCAUAAAGUUGGGGCAAAAGACGGAAGAGAGGUAGUGCUCUUAGGAGGAUGUUUGCAAGUUCUUCUUCUGGACCACUGCAGCUCCAUCUACAUUUUCCACAAGCUGUGACAUGGGUCUAGCUGAGCUCGUGCACUCACGUUUCCUUUGUGUGGGAACUAGGGUACAGUGGAGAUGAGAGAAAGGACAUUUCAGUCCCAUGUCACUCUCUAGGAGGAGAUAAGAGACAUCAAGACAUGCUCUGGGGCAGCAAUAUUGACACAUCUUCUGUUACUGAGUGAAUCAGUCACAACAAAGAGGCUUUAGUAAGCUUCUUUGUUCUUGAUGCCUCGGAUGCUGGUGCUCAGCUCAGGCCACUGAAGGGCUAGCUUCCAGUGCCUGCCUGAAACGGUCCCUGUUUUUUCUGUAUUUGCAGUACUUCAGCACCUCAGGGUAUUUCUCUGUCACUUAAAUGGUGCCAGCGAACAUUCCCAGACUUUAAGACUGAGUCUUCUGUGCUGUUAAGUUGUUAGGAUGUCUGAAGCACCUGCACCGUAUUUCAGAUGUUUGCCAGGCAUGGCUUGGAAGCCAGCAGGGCCUGGAGACCAUUCUCACUAGACAUUUGAGAUGGAACCGCCUUGUUUUGGCAGAAAGGAAAGUUCAAUAGUCUGGAAUUAGAGUAUCUCACGCUGGCUGGCCUUAAUGCCAGAGGACAGACCUGGGCAUGUUGAAACACUGUUACGGACAUAGCCUAGGUGUCUCCAGCUGUCUGUCCCUAGGAUAGAAGGCUCUUUUAUUUACAGAGGGGUUACAAAGGCUUGUAUAGUGCUUUAAAGGUCAGCGCCAGAGCUGGAUGUUCAACUAAAUAUAAUACAGUACAGCUUGGCGGGAGCUGGUAGGGAAGGAGUUCGGUAAAUUCACUUUGGCUGCUUCCUCAUGUGUGAAGGAAGGACGUGUCUGAAUUAGAAAUGGGUAAGCUGUGUUUCCUUCUGGCUAGACCACUGACAAAGCUAACUUUUUGCCGUUUUUUAGUCCUGAUAUGCCACUUCUUCACCAUCUUUCCUUUACGUGGCCCCACGUCCCCACAGACUAGUGCUGAAUCUCAUACUGUGUUGGGCAUUGCAGAAAAUCUCAAGCCCACUCUGUUGUCGGUGGACAAUGUGUGCAUAUUAUCAGUAGGAGUAAUCCAUCCAGCUGUGCAUUAACAGAGGAGUCCUCCAGGCAGAAUUUCCUCCCUACCUCGUUCAUUACUUUGGGACUGGCUGAAUCCCUUCAGUUCCUCUUCAAGCUUUGUCAUUUUACUGGGAGUCGUGGCUCUUCACUUUUACUUCCAGACAAAGAGAAACCAAAUCAGAAACCCCAGGCAGAUGACUCACAGCCACCUCAUGGAGCUGUCUGUGUCUUCCAGUUGCUGAUGUCUGGUUAGCUGCGUCAUCUUCAGAAUGAAGCAGCACUGGGUGGAUCUGGCUACCCACAGCUUUCACUUGGAAACCCCCCAUUUCUAAUCUUGUAAGUAGCCCUGAAGGUAUGUGGGGGCUGCUAAAAUUAAAACAGUCUGACCCUGGGAAUGGGAUGGAUGAUAUGACAGCUGCGUGGCCUUUGAAUCGGUUGUUAAUCUAACGAAGGAUGAUUUAGUUCUGCCAGUCACACGUAUACAUUGCAGCUGCAGCACUGCCUAUUGCAGAUGUGGUCAGAGAGCCACCUUCCUGCACAGGGACCCCUGCUCCUUCCUCCUUACACCUUGAGUCCUGUAUUCGGUUUUGGGCCCCUCACUACAGGAAGGACAUUGAGGUGCUGGAGAGAGUUCAGAGGAGGCAAUGAAGCUGGUGAGGGGUCUGGAGCACAAGUCUGAUGAGGAGCAGCUGAGGGAACUGGGGCUGUUCGGCCUGGAGAAAAAGAGGCUGAGGGGAGACCUGAUCACAGUCUACAACUGCCUGAAAGGAGGUUGUAGCAUGGAGGGUGUUGGUCUCUUCUCCCAAGGAGCAAGUGAUAGGACAAGAGGAAAUAGCCUCAGGUUGUGCCAGGAGAGGUUUAGAUUGGAUAUUAGGAAAAAAUUCUUCAUGAAAGGGUUGUCAGGCAUGGGAACAGGCUGCCCAGGGAAGUGGUGGAGUCACCAUCCCUGAAGGCAUUUAAAAGAUGUAUAGAUGAGGUUCUUAGGGACAUGGUUUAGUGCCAGAGUCAGGUUAACUGUUGGACUCAAUGAUUUUGAGGGUCACUUCCAACCAAAAUGAUUCUAUUAUUCCCCAGGGCUGCCUCCAGCAUGGGCAAAACCCCAGCUGCGAGGCCAUAUGUCUGGGAGGUGGCAAACCUGGGUUUAGAGCACUUUGUCCUGAGCAAAAGAACACUGCAGUUGGGUGACAUAAAGUCCUUAAGAGGAAUAAUAUUUCUUGGCCAAAUUGGAGAGGUGUGAAAAAAUUGAGCUGGUGUGUUGCCUACAUGGCUCUUGAAUCUUCCCCAGAAUUUUGCUCCGUCAUCCUGUCUCCUUUCCCUCCUCAUUUCUCCAGAGCCAUGGCUCCAGAUUUGGUCCCCCUCUUUUACGCAAGUUUGUGCUCAUACACCCGUUCUUUUGCCUGGAUGCUUCCCUGAGUCAGAUAAUUCCUUGCUGCCGGCUUUUUUGUGCCAGCCUCCUCCGCAGCCAGCAACUCGGCUUGUCAAUACUGAGCAGCACCCAGCCUGCUCUCCUGCCACUUGGCCUUAUUAUACCCAAACUGGAAAAGUGUCAGCUCUGAGAAAGCAGACACAGCCACAGGUGUGCAACCCACUUUGCUUUUUAAGCUCUGAAUGGAGUUUUGUGUAGUGAAGUGAGAUCGGGUGGGUCCCACUGGGAGGGAGAUAUAAAACGACUCCUCUGUCCCCAAAAGCUUAUGCACCAGACAGAGGGUGGAUGAGAGGGCAAGCCACCAUGUCGGCAUUGGAGAUGGGCAACUGAGACAGGGAGGAGGGCUCAACCAUCUUCCCUAAUCUCAUGUGGAGAGUCCGUAGCAAAUUUAAAGGUCAGCCUGUGCCUGGGCCUCCACCACAUAGGAGCAGCUUUUGGUGUGAUGAGUGAGGGGAAACCCCAGCGCAUGUGCCUGGUCAGUGGGCUCUGUCUGGGAUGGGGUGGGGAGGCUGGAUCCAGCCCUGUGCCUGGCAUCCUGGAGGAGCACGGGGGAUAGCUGGUGUGGGCUGGCUGGGAGGCAGUGGGCAUCGGAGGGGGACGUAUGUGACUGGUGACGAGCAGAGGAGCUUCUCUCUUUGCUCACAAGCCAUUUCAAGGUGACUUUGAAGUGGUCUGCGAGAUUUUGAGCAGUUUUGGCAAGCUUCUGAGGGGAAACUUAGUGUCUGCCAGUGGAGAGUCCAGAAGUGAAAUAACGUGCCUAGUAGCAAACCUCAUGAGACAGAUCCUCUGUGGGUGUAAAUUAGCACUGUUCCCUUGGUCUCAUUUAGAGCUACGCUGGCUUACAGCCCGUGCUCCCAGCAGUUGUCCCAAGGCGAUAAGAAGUAGAACAAAUUCAGGUGUAAUUGCUUCUCACAGAAGAAAACUGUAAGAAAAAGCAUCUCGCUUAGCGAGGAUAAAUCUAGGUCUCAUUGUUUUCUUUUCCUUGAAGAAAAGCAGAGUUAUGAUGCAAAGGCAGAAAGACAGGAAUGCUGUAAAACAAGCAAACAAGGGAGGAAGGCUUUGCCAUCUCAUGGCCUUUUUCCCCUACAUCCUCCUGCCAUAUAGCAGCUAGCAAAAUGGACUUGAAGAAAACCUGAGGGAAUGGCUGCGUGAACUGCCUUUUAAAGAUCCUGGGCUAGUUUUUAUCAUAAUUAUUUUUCUUUUUUUUUCACUAGUGUCACUCUAUUGAUUUUCACUGCAGUGACGCAGCUGUAAAAUAGGCUUAAUGUAGUGGCGAACGAGACCUUAUGUAUCCAAAUUUGUUUUUCAGAAUUGUGCUUUUCUAACAGGGAAAAAGACUUGCCCCAAGUUUAAAGGUAAGCUCCAAAUCUUCACUGCACCGUGAAGAUUUGUGGAUAGAAAUCCCAUUUAGAUGAUUUUAUAAAGCGCUGAAAUACUCCACAGGAGCAGGAUUUAACCUUGGGAUGUUCACUUUCUGUAAUGUGAUUAAUGAGCCUUUCCCCAAGCAUAGCAGAUAUCUAAGCAUUUUUUUGUGUGUGGAAGUGGAGCAAUUGUCCGGCUUUACGCAAAUGAGGAGCUACUUCAGUGUUUGCCCUGUGAAGAGACUUCAGUUUCAAUGGGCUUCAAGAUUGCACUUUUGUGUUAAGUGGAGCUGUGAUCUUUUUCCAAUGAGUGUUGCUAUGCAGGGCCAAUUUGUGACGUCCAUUAUUCUAAAAUAAGUAACUUCUGCACAGCAGAAAUGUGCUCCACUUGCACUGCUAAUCUGUCUCUCACACAAAGGCGUGUUUGGAAGAAAAGUUAUUUAUUGCAAGUAAUAAAUGCAGGUUCUCAAAAGCAUUUAUAACUUAGUUUCCAGAGUCAGAACACUUCAGUUUGAAAUAAUUUCCUUUCAAUUUUCUGUAUUUUCAGUCUCUUUCCUGGCUGUUUUAGACCAUAUAUUGCAUACCUAAUUAUUCUCCAAAGGACAAUCUCAGCCACGGAAAAUGGAAUAUACUUAUCAAAAUUCCUCAUGCAAGAAUCAGUUCUUCAGGUAUCAACUAUUGCCUGGCUGUCUGUUAAAUAAGCAUGUCAGGUUGAAGUCUCCUGCCUCACCAGUGCAGAUAGUUAUAUAUCUCAUCUGUGUAGUUUAUGAGCCCUUCUCAGUCAUUGGUAUAACAGACCUUUGAAUGUCCUCUGGCGAAAAAUGGAAACUGUAGUUAACACUUACCCAGUUUGUCUGAAAUCACAGAGGAGAUCCAGGGCAUGAUGGGAUUUGAAAACAGCUCAUCUGUGGUUUUAUAUGGUAUAUUUCCUCUAGGUAAGCUGGAUCACUGUAAGAGCAAAGUGAUUGAAAUUCUUCCCAAAAGGACCCCAAAACCUUAAUUUCAUUAGAAGACAUAUGAGUCACUAGCUGUUGAGGAUUCUACUUACUUGAGGAAUUUGUAUGUUUUUUUGAGACUGUUCUCAAGAAAGCGAAGUGCAAUAUUUGGAAGGGCUCAUAGGGUUAGUCUGGCACUUCUUUGUGGCUUUGGCCAUCAGGUACUACGGGACUAGAAAGUGCUACUGUAUAACCCCAUGACAGCAAAAAAAUUAGUAGUUUGCACUCCUGUUUUACUCCUGUGUGAGGCUGGAUGAGAGAUCUUGACCCUUUUCCCUCCCUCAGCAGCAGCUUUUGCAAUGGGACAAGGGCUGACUCCAUCCUUGUUGUGCUAAGAGUUUGGAUGCAGGAUGAGGUACAGCUGCAUCCCUCUCUUGCUUAAUAAUCAUUAACAAAGCGAUCUAAGUAGGUAUGUGAAUAAUUUGGAAAGUGGAAAAGAAUGUUUAUAGCAAAUAAUUCAUCUACUUAAAAUCCCUACCUGUACAUUGUGUUUGGCUUAUUGAUGCCUUUAUAGAGUGGGAGGAACUGCAGGCGUUCCUGUUAUCUCUCUGCCUUUGGAAGAAGGGAGAAGUUAUGGCUCAAAAUAGGGUUAAACUGCUGUUCGAAGGUCACACAAAAUCUCUGUGGCAGUACUGGAAAUACCCACUUUUCCUUCUCAUUUUCAAAAUCCUUCCAAGAUUUCAUCCUUUCUGGCAGACUGUAUUCGUCAAAAGAGUUUUCUGCUGCUCUCUGAAAGACCUUCUGCUUGACAGCUCUGUCCUCUGAGGAAACAUUUCUUCAUAACAAGUUUGCCUUGAAUCAGUUUGGCUUGAUUUUAAUUUUUUCUUAUAUCCCACAGCAAAACUUUUACCCCAGUGUAACUAGUUUCCACAAACUUCCCUAUGAAAUACAGGGCAAGCUGUGUUGGCUGCUCCCCAUGGAAAAUGAAAGACACGGUUGCACCAGACAGUCCCUUAGCGAGGAGUAAAGACGGUGUGGGACCCUCGUUCAGCAACCAAGUCCCCUGGAGCCCGCAUGUGCAUCAGGCACAGGGCUAUAUGCAGGGAGCUGUACACAGCGUAUCAUAGGAUAUGAGUUUGCCUGUGCAGCCAUUUCCAAGGCAUUGGUGCUUUGCUGCUUCAGCCCAUUUUAACUGUGUGACAUGUUGCAAGACUGGCAUUUGUUAUCGCCAAGUUAUGCUUACAUUGCUUAUGGAGACGGCUAAGUUCCUCUGGAAGACAGAGCUUUCUGGGGAUCUUUCCCUCCUGAGCAGUCUGGCUGCUCUGAUUGCUGUUUAAAGAGAGACUGUGGAAAGCUGUGAACUAAUCUGUAAAGUAAAGGCUCGCUUCUCUUUCACUUCGCUCCUUGGGACUUGUCUCCAAUAUGAAGCUGAUAUGUACGUAUAUGUGAUGCCUGUGCCCUGGGGGAGGCACUCCUAAGUGAGUAAGGAAUUCAUUGUGUGCCCAAUUAGCACACUACAGUGAUGUCUGCUUAGUCCUGACACUCUCAAUUUCCGUCUGUGCCGCUGGGAAGAGAGAAUAAAGCUCUUCCCCUGGUGCUGUCACAACGAAUACACUGGCCAGACUGGCUGUGUCCAGGAAGGCAGGGGAUGCCUUCCCUCCCCAAGGCUUGUGCCAUCUCAUGCGGUGCCAAUCAGUGCCCGUGCUGACAUGGACACCUGGGAACGACACAGAUGACAAACCUCACUGGGGUAACCGAAAAAACAACAUCGAGGUAUCAUACCAUGGUCACUGAUUGUCCCAGUAGUGGUUUGAAUGGCUCCACACUCCCCUGUGAAUAUCUGGAGAGCUGCUGAAUUCUCUCGUGCUUAGGAAGUUUGUAGAUAAGUCACUCAAGCCUUUUGAGGCUUGUUUUGGAGGCUGCAAAUCCAGCUACACUUCCAGAAAGCUUGAUCUCUUACUUUGGGGAUGAGCGAGCAAGUAUAAAUGAGGGUGCAAGUUAAUUUACUGAUCCAUAAAAGAGGUGCUUUAUUUUUUACAGCUAUAUAUGUGUGUUGUAUGUGCACACACACAUGUAAAUAGAGAAGAAAUACAGGCUGUUCCCUUGGCCUCAUCCCACUUUCCAUGAAAAGAAGUGUUCCACUGGAAGCUGUAGCCAUUCACGUCUCACAAUCUGCCACCUGUCAAAGCAAUUUGAGAUUUACUAGUGACAACUGAGUGCUAAUGUCUGCCAUCCUUGCCCUGCAAAUAGCCGAUGCGUUCCAAGUCCCACGGCCCUUAGGUCAGCUCUCCUCCCCAAGAUUAGUUCAAACUCAGCCAGUCACCCAAUAGCCAUUUGGAGUGAUUCACUCUGAGAAGUACGUAUCUUCGACACACGCUGAAACUUCAGGGAGAAAAUGAGUCAUUUCACAUUAUAGAAAGUCAAAUCUUGCCCUUGGUAUUUCUAUGUAUACAUGAGUGAUAAUCAUUUAUUUUUAGAUAAGUUUCUCCAGUAUAAAUGUUGCUUCCUUUGAUAAAGGUCAUCUUGAGAGCCACAUGCUAAUAUUCUGCUUAUUUCACAAAUGCUAUGGGAGAUUAUUUAUUUAUUCAUGUGUCUGCAGCAGUGCAGUCGGAUGUCAGGGAGCUAUAGCAGUAGCUGAUUGUUGGGAGUCAGCCUACAGACAGGGUCCCUGUUGCUAGGCUUAUCUGUCAAAUGUGUGUUCAAGAAUGCAGUGAAAUCAUCCCUUUCUGGCAUUUUCUUGCUGUUUGAAUCACUUAGGUCUGCCUCCUAGACUGUUCAGCGAUGACUUAUUUUCAGGACGCAGAAAAUCCUGGCUUUGCAGGGGGGGAGCCAUUAGACAAGGUAUUUGUCACAGUGUCCUGGAGCGGAUCUUGGCAUUGGCAAACCAAGACCAAGCAAAUUGGUAAAGCCAAGCCUCAGGCCUUGUUGAGUCUCUUCUCCAUCCCAAUGAACCAAACCAUUCAGCUUGUGGGUGGAUGUGGUUUUGGUCCAAGUGUACCGUUGUAACUGUGCCACCCACAGCAGAUCUGCAUUGGGACCUGUAGCGGUUCUGAGACCUGUCAACCCUGAUAUUGUACCCAAGUACUUCACCUGCAGCACCCUCUGGAUAACAGCCGCAGGGUUUUUUGUGUGCAAAACACAGCAGCACUCCUGCCUUGGGGACAGCCUGGCCCCACCUCACCCAGUUUCACCCGUGGCUGAGCCUGCGUGAGGUGGGCAGCACGAGUCCCUCAGCAGUUCCCAAGGGGCUCCGGCUCCUGAGCAAGAACAAGCCCCCACCACCUUCUUGAGACAUCUGUUGAGAAAGUUGGGGAAUAACAUCUGGCCAUGAGAGGCAUUUCAGGACCCUGCCUGAAAGAAGAUGGGAUAACUUUCUACUGCACUUGAACAUGUUUUUUAAAAAGUCCAUGUGUGUGUGAAUGUAUAUGUUUGUUAUAUGUAACAUUCAAAUUGAUGUUGAACAAUCCAAAUGCAUAUCUAUGUGUCCCAGAGGGAAAUUUGCAGCUUACUGAGAUGUUACUUGCUGCCCCCCUGAACUGAAGCUGAUUUGGAUAUAAUUCCUUACUUGAAGCAGCUUUCAGCCCAGUCAUUAAUGCAUGUGAAGUAUCAGCAACCUAUACAUGAGGGGCUGUGUGUGGCUCAAUAGCCAGACGCUGAAUGUCUGGGGGUGUUCAGUGUCCCCCAUGUCCAGCCAGCCCCUCAGAAGCCUCUAUGGAGGGACCAGUCCCACCAGCUGUGGUGUCAGGUCCCUGCUUCGCAGCCUGAGCGGGGGCCCUGUUCUCACAAUGGCAAAGCUUGGCCCCUGGGUUUUGGGCUGUAUCCCUUGCAAGGGAGAGGCACGGAAUCACUCAGCAUGGAAGGAGGGAGCACAAGAGGCAGCUGAGUAGUGCAGGCAGCCUGUCUCCUGUGGAGCCAUGCCCGUCUACUCCCAGGGCAGCAUAGUCAAUCGAGCUGCCUCCUGCACUGUGCUUGGCCUUUCUCAUUUGAGCCUCCUGCCCUGUAACAUACAUUUUGGGGGGAAAUCCCAAGUGCCUUUGCCCUUCUGUGCAGACAUGUUUUUCCCUCCCUGCUCCUCUCCUUCCUCUCCUCUGGCCUCCAAGGCCAGAGUUUGUCCCCACUCUGGAGCUGCACCCCAGGCCUUGCUCCCCAGGAUGGGCAUCCAAGAGGCAGUUCCCAAUGCACCCAAUAAAACCUGGUCCAAACGCUGACUCGCCCUCCUUCCCAUCCUCUGACAGUUAAAUGUAAUUUUGGAUAUAAGCUAUCCAGAAUAAAGAGAUAUCUGAGUUAUUUUACUAUCCUGCUGGCUCCUAAGUUAAAUAAACACUAUAAAUCAUGGAGCCAGAUUCAGCUCUGACUGAACUUUCACUUCAAGCUUUAGUUUGAUGUUGAAAUAAGGUGACAUACUGAUUUCAAGGGUACUGACUUAUCCCCUAUUGGUGUUUAUGUAAAGAGAGUUCAGCUCAUGGACUACUCCCUGAAUUAUGGAGUUACUGCCAAAUGUUACUCAAAGUGGAGUUUUCGUGCUCUGUCUUGCACUGUUCACCAAAUGUUCACAGGGAAAACGAGUCUCAGACAGCAUCUGCGUAGGAACUGGUUGAGCACAGGUGUUACAUCGUUUUGGCUCAGGGUGACAGAACAUAAUUAUCAGAAAACACUUCUAAGGAACAGUCUCAUUGUCUGCUUUAUUUAAAAUAGUUUCUGGCAAAUGGUCAUAUCAUGGGCAAAAGACCAGCCAUCUUCUUCUGGCAGAAUGGAUCUGUGUAAUGAAUAUGCAUGGUAAUGACAUAGAACCUUGAGUGAAAGUUAAGUCUGCAAGACAUCUGUCUACUUAGAGUGAAGCUUUCCUGUUACCUUACAGAGGACAGAAGGAAACCCAAGGGAAAAGACAGACUACAUGUAAUGGAAAAUGUAUGCCCUAAAUGUGAUGUUAGGCAGAUUGACCAUUUUUACUGCAAUAGCAAAACGUUCUCAGCUGGCUUAGCAUAGGAAGUAAGGCAAGUACUUUGCAUGCCUCUAUUAGGACAUAUUUAUGUUUUAUGUGACUGGGUGACAUAAAACAGUGGUUCUCAUAUCUUUCUGUAGCUGUGGAAGCUGGCCAUGUUCAUGCUUCACUGGGCCUGCUGGAGUCAACACAUCAGUGAGGAUCUCUGCUGUUUGGCAACCAUGGCCAUUGGAAUUACCAAAACACAGAGAGCAGUGUAGUGCUUCUUGGUAUUUUCCAUGCCUGCAGUCCAGCUGCAGAGCACAGCCUCUCAUUCUGCUUCUCCUACAUUUUGGCAGAAACAAAAGCUUUUCAAAUCUUUUAAAUGGUUGUAUUCAUAGUCUUCAAUGUUUUUAAAUCCUUUAUGAUCACUUUGCUUGACCUUUGUAUGAUGGAAAACUUUGAAUUUUAUCCUCUAGUUCUUAAAAUCAAGCACAACAGCUUUUGGCUGAACAGUGUUUGUUGUGAAAGUUUUGCCAGUCGAGAUGUAAAGACAUCAAGUCAUGGGGAUUGCACAGUGUCCCUUGGUAAUGAGUCCCUUGACUGAUUGCUCUCAGUAUUAGAUGUCUGCUAGCAUAACACUUCCCUGAAUUCAGUUUCCAGCUGCUCAUCUUACCAGUCCCUUGCCUACUUUGUUAAAGAGCCAUCUCCACUUUAUAUUGCUUCCUUGGCAAGGCACCUGGACACUUCCCUUCAGUGAACUGAGUAGAGAUCAUGACUGAGCUCUUAAUCAAUGACAAGCUUUGACAGGGACCUAUUCCCAUUGCAGCUUGACAGAUCAGAGAGUCCAUCUGCAAACUGGAAUUAUGCAUAAAGCCCCAUGGCCACGCAUAGGCUUGUGCUCUUAGGGCUGUCUCCCGUGAGGUGCUUAUCAUGUCUAUGUGAUGCUGAACACGCUCACCUCCCAUCAAAAGAUUUGCUGGUGGAGGACAUUCAGCAUCUCUCAGGCAACCUGGGCACCUUGGAUGAUCAACUUGUGUAAAUGGAGUUUA